CAAGGGGUGAGGGCUUUUUUUUAAAUACAACUAAAGCACUGGGCUAGGCAGAAAGUGACUGCCCCAGCAAUUGCUCCAAGUGCAAUGGUGUCAGGACAGGAGGCAAAGAAAGCUCACUCUCUUGGCAUGUGAGCAAGAAGGAGCUGAGUGGGAGAAUAAAGGUAUCCAUCGAAAGAAUCCAAAGACCACUGGACAAUUGAGAUAUCUGAAGAAAAGGGACAGAUAAUCCUAAGGAGUAAAUUGAUCUAUUGGAACAUCAUAUUUCCAAAAGGAUAAAAUUCCAAAAACCUUC